rnacentral:rRNA from 1 species
AUUGAACGCUGGCGGCAUGCCUUACACAUGCAAGUCGAACGGCAGCACGGGUGCUUGCAUCUGGUGGCGAGUGGCGCACGGGUGUGUAAUACAUCGGCACAUGUCCUGUUGUGGGGGAUAGCCCGGCGAAAGCCGGAUUAAUACCGCAUACGAUCCACGGAUGAAAGCGGGGGACCUUCGGGCCUCGCGCUUUAGGGUUGGCCGAUGGCUGAUUAGCUAGUUGGUGGGGUAAAGGCCUACCAAGGCGACGAUCAGUAGCUGGUCUGAGAGGACGACCAGCCACACUGGGACUGAGACACGGCCCAGACUCCUACGGGAGGCAGCAGUGGGGAAUUUUGGACAAUGGGCGAAAGCCUGAUCCAGCAAUGCCGCGUGUGUGAAGAAGGCCUUCGGGUUGUAAAGCACUUUUGUCCGGAAAGAAAUCCUUGACUCUAAUACAGUCGGGGGAUGACGGUACCGGAAGAAUAAGCACCGGCUAACUACGUG